rnacentral:rRNA from 1 species
UUUGCAUCGAUGAAGAACGCAGCGAAAUGCGAUAAGUAAUGUGAAUUGCAGAAUUCAGUGAAUCAUCGAAUCUUUGAACGCAAAUUGCGCCCUUUGGUAUUCCGAAGGGCAUGCCUGUUUGAGUGUCUUAUAAACCUCCAACUAUAGUUUAUUCUGUAGUUGGCUUUGGGUGUUGCCAGCGAUGGCUCGCCUUAAAUGUCUAAGUGGAAUGCAUAAUAAGUUCUUGCAACCCUCCACUCUAACACACUUUAUAUUCUGACCUCAAAUCAGGUAGGACUACCCGCUGAACUUAAGCAUAUCAAUAA